AGCUUUGUGCAGUGCCAGUAUUGUAACCAAUGAGGUUUAUCUGAGACACGAUUAUUGCUAAUUGAAAACUUAAUUUGCA
rnacentral:snRNA from 1 species